UGGCAGUAGCUAUAUGAUUAUAUUUGACUGGAGAAGUUAAGUGGCUGGUUGUUGUAAAUCUAUUGGCCUAUCUGCUUACCCAACUUCUUACAUUU
rfam:Nicotiana attenuata strain TT chromosome 7, whole genome shotgun sequence.